GCACCCGUAGCUCAGCUGGAUAGAGCACCUGCCCUCCGAAGGCAGAGGCCACAGGUUCGAAUCCUGUCGGGUGCGCCA
rnacentral:tRNA from 1 species